ACAUUACAAGCCUGAUCCAAAUCCCCCUGAAGUCAGUGAUAGUCUUACCAUUAACUUCAAUGGGAUUUGGAUCAGGCUCAGAGU
rnacentral:pre_miRNA from 1 species